CUUGGCCCCCGUUCAGAGGACACGGCAUUCUUCCCACGGCCUGACAUGGGGUAGAAUGGCGUUGGAACCAUUAGGAAGAAAAAGGGAGGGGGCAUUUGGGCCCUGGGGAGCAGGCUGUGGCCAGGAUUCGGGAAGGGGCUACCAGAAGAGGGGCCUUUGGGCAGGGCUGAAGGGCAAGACUAUGCCCAGGCCCAGGAAUGGCUCUGCCCAUCUCUAUGCCACACCUCUCUGGGUUCCUAGGAGCUUGGGGAGAGCCACGGUGACCGUGACCCCAGUGCCCAGCCCUGUGCCCCAGGUAUCCGGAUCUACUCAGACCAUCUCUGGGGUUCAGCAGGCAACAUUCCUCUUCCAGGAAGCAAAAAUAAGCCAUGUCUAUGAAGCCCUUACCCAUGAGGGGCUGCUCUGGGUGUGAACCUAAAAUAAGGCUUCAUUUCUACUGAGUGCCAGAAGCAAUAGCCAUUGGUAAAGUCCUGUGUGAAGAAAGUGAGAACCACUGAGUUCGAGGCCAGCCUGGUCUACAGAGUGAGUUCCAGGACAGCCGGAGCUAUACAGAGAAACCCUGUCUCAGAAAAAACAAAAAAACAAAAAAACAAAAAAAAAAAAGAAAGAAAGAAAGAAAGAAAAAAGAAAAUGAGAACCAGAUAUGGUGGUGCAAGCCUUAAGGACCAGCGCCAAGGAGGUAGAGGAGGCAGGCUGCAUAUGAGGUGAGACCUUAUCUUAAAAUAAAAAAAAAAUUAAAAAAACAAGAAGAAGAACACGGAGACAUUGUCACCAACUUGGUGGCCCCAGUCGGAGUUCUAUUAAUAUGGAAGAAUAAAUACUCCUUCUUUGGCA